CUAGCGAAAGUCCUUGCGAUCGAUACGCUCAAUGAAUUUCAAUGGGUCUCGCAAGGCUCUCUGACAGAUUGGGAGGGGCUUGGAUCGCUUAAUUUUUUGAUAUUUCUUAUAACGUAAAGAAUAACUUGGUUACCGUUUUCUCGGAAUUGAAACUGGAGAACAGCGAGGUGUACGGUUCUUCUUCGUUCGAUCAUUGAAUGGGAACUGGAAAAUAUAUGGUAGUCGCACGGCGGCCAAGUCUUGCUCUCAAUUGGAUGUAACUGGGAGACGAGCGUGCAAAUUCUCGGCUAAUUGGGCGCAAUUACUGAUGCGCAAUUUCGCGAUCAUUAACGCCUCGCUGUAUUACGGGGAACGGCGGCCUUCUCUGACUUAACGAAAGUGUUUGCUGAUUACAGGAUCUUCUCGACGAGGAGAAACAGAGGAAUUCUAUCUUUAACUUAUCGCACCAACAGUUUUAGUGCAACGCUCUCGCGGUUAUCUCGGCUUGUUUGUCGUCAAACACUCUUCAAACAUUUCAACAGAUGAGUAUCUUGACAUAUACUAUUCAUUUUUCCUUAAUUAACUGUUUCAAGAAUGACUGAUCCGUGAAAUGCAAACUGGCAAACGUGUCUAACAAACCAUCGUGCAAAUAGUCCCCGAAGCAAACACAGGAAAGAACUGUUAACGGCAAUUCUUCUAGAAUCCUGAAGCACAAGUACAAGUUAAAUUAAUCUUCUAUUAAUUGAUUACAAAUUAGUGAUUUAUGAUGUCAGAUUACAAGUGCAGGCCAUAAUUGCUGAUUAAUCUCAGUGAUAAUUAUUUGAUUAAUGUCAAACUGCAUGACAACUGUAUGUCCGCCGGUCCCGUAGAGGGGGCUAAUAUUUUCUGACUCUGAAAAAGAUAACGCGACCGAUGGAUCACAACUAAUCAUUCUUUGUUACGAAUUGACAAUAUACAUCCAAUAUCAGUGUUAAAUAAAAGUAUCGCAAUUGGCAAUACGCACAGGACAAAAACAGCUUACUCUCCAUCUUUAUAAAAAUGUCGAUAUAGCUUCGAGAACGAAGGCGAUAAUAAUGAUUUGUGGUUACCAUAAAAUGUUCGUUUAGAAACCUUGUUUGUUUAUCCAACAGCUCUGUAACGUCUUAAGGAAAAAAUACUAAGAAAACUAAAAAAUACUACGAAAAGAAUUAGAGGGAUAAGACUAAUGUCUCUACAGAUAAUAAUAAUUUAUUUAUAAAUACAUUGAAAAUGUCGAUAUUGUCCACAAUAAAACGUAUGCACACAACGAAAACGAUGUUUCUUCGUUCUCAUCUAACCACGUGGAAUACCCCCUACAAACUACGUUUUCAUAUAUUUUUUUUUCAAUUUUUACUUUAUAUACGAACUAUACAAGUCGAACAAUGUCUCGUGUACUCGCCCACAGGUUUCAUAAACAUUCGUCCAUAAAAGUUUAGUCACACUUUACGUCUAAUAUUACAACCAUUGCAACUUCUGAUGCAGAGAUAUAUGAGUGACAAAGUAGAGUUUGUACCUGAGUUAGCAAAACCACCCAUAUCUGUAGAUAUAGUCUACAAUUGGACAAUAGUUUCUCAACAAACGUUGAAAAUGAAUUCUAGGAUCACAAGUCAGACGAAUGUUUACGAGGAAUGCUCCCAGGGACGCGUUUAAAUCCGUGAUUAAAUAAUACGUGUCAGAGGUGCUGGAACUAUUUCUUCAUCGCUACGGGAUAAGUCCUUUUGUCGUAAGAAUCCACAUCGACACGUAGGAAGAUUCGACAUUCUAGGAACGCGUACAUUACGCCUGUAAUUCAGAAUAUAAAUCGAAUGUAAUUUUGUGCGCAAAAGAAAAAACGUUUGUAUGUUUUCGUAUACCCCGUCCGUAUCUACAUCCGUUAAACAAAUUUUCGUGCAAAUUAAACGAUAAAUAAAUAAUAUCCUCGGUACACACUUAACGCGAAAUCAGUGUCACCGAUCGAAGACGCGAGUUUGACAAAUUUUAGCGCGCCAGUUUCCUAAACAAUUCAAACGAUACGCAAAUGGACGCACAUGGAUUUGCGCGACAGGACGAAGAGGGCGUGUUAAGGCAAUUCGUCGAUGCUGGAUUGUCGCACUUUGUUGUUGCAUACCGUUUCAUCGAGGAACGAUUGUCGUCCGCGCGACACGUUGGAUCGGGUCGCUCGUGUUCGUCGAUCCCUACGAUAUAAUUGUAAAUUUAAUUGACUCGCGAACGACUCGAGCUCGAUUUCUCGAUACACAUAUUGCGGAAGACGAACGAACGAAC